ensembl:lncRNA
ACUGGAAGCUAGGACAGUGUGAUUCCUGGGUUUCCCAAGCGUGAAACCUCACUCUUCCGCUUGCAAUUGUAGCUGCAUUUAUUGAACCCCAACCAAGAGCGGGGCAGGCCCUGGUCUAAGAUCUGCCCCGUGCCGUCUUGUCCAGUCUGUACAGCAGCCUAUCAGGGGUGGUGAUUAUACUCAUGGCUUACAUGCAAAAGUUGAGGCUGAGCGCUGGUAAAGAGAGUGAUGGAGGCAGGAUUUAAAUCUGUGCGGUUAGACUCAAGGCCCACACCCUUAAAUCUCAACAGAGUUUUGCCAUCUUCUUGCAGUUGAUGGACAAGAAAACUGAGCACCAACUGUCUAAUUUUCACAAGGUGAUACAUCAAUGUGGGGCCACAACUAGGUUGAGAACCCGGGUUACCUGCUGCCUCCUCCAGGGCUUCAUCUUCUUCUUCUUCUUUUUUUUUGCUUUUUGCUUUUUGCCUUUUCUAGAGCCACUUCCCGAGGCAUAUGGAGGUUCCCAGGCUAGGGAUCUGGUGUUGCUUUGGCUGUGGUGCAGGUCGCAGAGUCGGCUCGGAUCCCGCAUUGCUGUGGCUGUGGGAUAGGUCAGCCGCUGCAGCUCCAAUUCGACCCCCAGCCUGGGAACUUCCAUAUGCCAUGGGUGUGGCCCUAAACAUACAUGCUCUGGGCACUAGACUGUGGGAUGAUUAGCAAGGAUUUGGGGGAAAAACCGAUUUUAUACUUAAAUUAUUAGAGAGGAAUCCAUGAUAGUAAAGUGUCAAAAAAGAAAGAGAUGAGACUUCCAGCGAAGGGAAACAGGAGGGUGAAGUGGGUGCGGUGGAGCCUUCAGUCAUCCAAUCUGCUCUGUGCCAGGGCCUGGGGGAGGCAGAGGGCUUCAGGUGAGCAGGAGACCUGGGGUCCAGGCCCUGUGGGCCUUAGAGCCUGGUCAGGCUGUUAUCUGCAUAAGGGAAUGCAGAUACAUGGUUACAGGAACACAGAGGGUUUUGUUUUAUUUUUGACACAGUCACCUAGGAUAUGUUGAAGAUGCUGGAGCAAAGAAAGAGGCAGUUCGUUCCACUGCGAGGGAUGAAUGUUAAGACUAAGUUUAGAAACAGCGACUUGUCUUAUACAUUUUAUGAGAUGGUUUUUUGAUGUGUGCGUAUGCCCCUGUGAAGUCUUUUUAAUUAAAAUCUUCAAGGCUAAUACAAGAGAAUAUAGGAGAAAGAACUUCACAUUCUUAGGAAAAUCGGCAGUAUAUGAAUCACUAGGGAUAAACAUAAUCCAAAGGCCUCUUAGAAAAAUCAGGAGAAGGACCAAUCACAGAACUCAGGGCUUCUGGCUACAGAUCUUUAUGUCAGAGUACGAUACUGUCUCCUUGAUGGUAACUUUUCGUAGUAAAAGCGAAAGCCAGCCGAGUUGAAGAAACAACCGUAUUUUUCCUCUCAGGCUUUUAAACUUUUAUCCGUCUGUACCUCCCUGGCUCAAGAUCAUCAGCCACAGAGCCAGCAGCCACCCCUGGAAGGAAGCCCCCAGUUUGUAAAUGGCCUUCCCCAGACCUGGCUUUCUCAAGAAAGAUCUUCUGGGUGCAGGAGCCAGGGAGAGGCUGGUUCAAGCGAACCUGGGCCUUGACCCUGAAGUCCUUUGUGAGCGACAGCAGUGACAGGCUCCAGAGAUAGGACGUGUGAUGGGGGGCCUCAGAGGCCCCGGCCUGGCUGCCUCAUUGUGUGGGGAGAGAAGGUUUCAGGGACCUUAAUCAUCGGAGUUCAAGUGUGAGACUUGACUAGUGAAAGACUGAUUUCCCUAUAUUGUUGGAAAAGACGAACAGGGUGUCAGGGUUGUUGGUUUUUAAACGUAUCCCUAGCUUCUGUCUGGGCCCUUAUGUAAAUCAGAUCUAUGUAUCGAUAAAAUUUUAUGGAAGAUUGUUUUGCCUCUUGUUUCUGUAAGUUUUGUAAAAUAGGAAGAGGAAGGAGGGAAGGAAGAGGGCACAUUUUCUUAAGGCAGGAUGUUCGCACAAACUAAUUGAAAACAAACUUUUUUUUAAAAGGAAUUGUUGCCCCCCCUAAAAGUGCUAUAAUUUCCAUGUGACAUGCAUGCCUUCUUGCAGAGACGCAGAGAGGCGUACUCCAGGCAGUUCCAAGGAGCCCAUUCAUUACUGGUUGGUGUACACACGCCAUGAAGGACAUUAAUUCACAAAAUGAAAAACUAAUAGAGUGUUUAGCUGGCUCUUUAUCGCCAGUGGCAGCCUGCAGUCUCUUCAUCAUUAGUGUUUGCUGAGCUGGUGGUCGGGCCUGCUCAGCCCAGCUCAUCUCAAUGAGUUGAGGUCACCCUCCGAGCGCCGUUGGCCAUCCCUCCUGACUUCAUUGAAAUGAGCCGGCCGUGGCUACCAAAGAAGCACUGAAGCUGUUCCGUCCAGUUAAACAUUUUCUUCCCUUUCCCUUUGCCUUGCUGCUGUGUCCCCAACAGAAACUCUCGAGUGCUAUACAUUUGUAACUUAUCCUACACUCAUCCCUUGGUUCAUCCCCACAGGCACGUUCUGAGCUAAGUAGAAAGCUAGUGUCUUUAUUCCCAUUUCACGGAUGGAAAAACUGAGGCAUAAAAGUAGGAACUGUGCUUACCAGUGACAGAGCUGGGAUACUGAUGGUGGAGCCACAUUACAUUUCAUUAAACUAAGACAUUUUUCUCUACUUCUCUAACUUUUUUCUUUUCAAAUUCUGUCCUUCGCCUCCUCUCAGCGCCCCUCAUCGUACAGGAUGGGUCUGUCUGUUCUGCGAUGCCCACUUCCUCCUGUGACAGAUUUUCACUAAACAUUCAUCUGAAGGGCCUUAUAUUAAUAAUGCCGUCUUAAAAAAUUUGUUAGUGAUUCUUGGAUGUGCUUUCUAAUUGCUGGAUUAGAAAGCCCUUUACUUCUCUUCCUCAUCAUUUAAGGUGUUUCCUUACCUAGUAAAAGAAGUAUAGUGACAUUUGAACAAACCUCAGAAUUGCUUCAUUAAGUUCAAAGCUUAUGUGAAGGCACACUGUGGUAGGAUGUGCGGAGGGAGCAUUAUUCACAUGUCUUUAGGUUCACAUAAAGCAGCUCUUAGAUGAACACUGCAAAUGCAAAAAUUUAGAGAUUUUUCACUCUCUAUAUUAGGGGAGUUUCUGUGAUUUUCUGUGUUAUGGGGUGUUUGAAUCUGCAGAGAAUAAGGAAGGGCUGGAAGUGUGUGACCUAGAGAAGUAAAUCUGCCUUUCUCUGUUUUCACCUUUGACCUCUGUCUAGUCUUUGGUGUUCCCCGGCUUUGCCAGCUGCUUCACCCUCCAUCCAUCUUCUCCAGCAGGUAUCCACCCCUGAGGAGACAAAAAAGACACAUGGUCAUGUAGCUGGUGAGUCACAGUGGUUACAGGUACAGACAAGGAUUCAUAAAUCAUGUGUUCUAUUGAAUUUAUCCAAUACUUAAUUUCUACUGGAUACAUGGAAACUUUAUCUAGUUUAAUUUACUAGAUCAGUGAAGCACUGUCUUAUGGGGCCAUCAGGGAGGAUACUCAUUCAUUCAGUAAAUAUUUGUGGAUCAACCCAGCUGAACAAAUAACACAGUACCAGCUAUGUGCUGGGCCUUGGGGACGUGAAUAAACAAGACUCAGACCCUGCUUGCAGGGGGUUUCUAAGUCCUGGAAAAGACAGGCAUGAGAGUAAUUAUACCAUAUUGUGAUUGGGCAACUUUGGGGUAAGCCCAGCCUACGAUGAGCAUAUAUAACGUAUACAUUUUAAAGGAGCAUAUAAUUACCAGAGAAAGCUUUCUGGAGAAGGUGGCAGCUCAUCUGAGUCUUAAACGAUGACAUAGUAAUUAGCCAGACAGAAAGGCAUUAUAUAGAGGCAGAACCAAGAAAGGAAAGGGGAGGGAGGAGAAAAGGCUACAAAGUCAAAUAAAAUCCAGUGAGUUCACACAUUCCAUAAGGCUAGAAUAGAAAGCCUACUGUGGGAGAGCAGUAGCCAGUGAAGCUGGAGAUCUGGGCAAAGGCCAGUUGGGAUUUUAUUUGGAAGAUAGUUUUGAGCUCUAGAAGGAUUUCAGACAGAGCGAUUUCUUCAGCAAGACCAUAUAGGGGAGUACAUUGGAGAGGACUAAUUCCCAAGACAAAGGGAUUAACUAGAAAUCUGCUACAGUAGUAUGGCUGAUGGAUGGUGAAAGACGGGACGGAGACAGAAACAGCAAGGAUGGAUUCGGAGAUAUUAUGGAAGAAUGAUCAGCAGGCCUUCCUCGUUGGGUGUAGAAGGGGCAGGAGACAGAGGCAUCCAAAGCCUUUCCAGGUUCCUUGUUGAUACAACUCUGGUGAUGCCAAGCUUUGUGCCAGGAUCUGGAAUUAGCUCUACCAGUAGGGCUGUUUGUUAAAAUGACAGUCAUUAAAAUCAGACUCUUCCUGCCCAUCAUGGAUGUGUAGUACAGCUUAAAUCUAAAUCCAUCAGCUAAAGGAAGCUAUGCAAAUUAUUUAGUUGAACUAGAAAUUUAUUGCCUAAAAUCCUCCUUAGGAUAUAUAGUCAAUUGACUGGUUCAUAGAAAUUUUUUUAAUUAAAGAGAUAGUGGUAUUAAUAAUAAUUGAUCUCAUACACAAAUCUAAUCUUUGACAAUGAGCAUCGUUAUUAAAUUAUUAAUAGUGUUUUCCUAGCAGACCUGCUGGAUGUAUCAAAAUGGACUCAUUCGCAUGUCAUUUUUUUUUCAUGCCCUGUAUUUGCCCCAUGUUGGGAGAUGAUAGAGUGAAACAGGAGUUUCUUUAUGGAUUAAUAUGUGAAAUUAUAAGCUUGUUAUAUUAUAAGAUAUAUAACCUGUAAGGGUUCAGAGGUAAUUCCCACACUGGACAAUAAACUUAUUAGUAGUUCUCGUGACGGGUUUAAUGAAGGAAGAGGUUGACGCUACCAACUAAAAUGAAAAUGUGAGAUCCAGCGUAAGGUUCAUUGGGAUUUGACUCUACAACUGAUUUUGCAAUUACUUACCCAGAUCUUUGCUAUAUCUACAGUGCUUUUAUGUCAAAUAAUGCUGAAGUACAAAAUGGACCAGUUGUAGUGCCCGUGACAAUUAAAACCCUGUAGAAAUGUCUGUACAUUUAUUUUGAGUUCUGUUUCUCCUAUGGAAGAAAACCACAAUUUAGUAACCAUCUUUGCUAAUAGGUAAAAUGCGAGAAAUGUUUCAUGAAAAUUCGCCUCUCUGAGCAGAGGUUGGAAAUAACAUUCAUUUGAAGAGUGAAACAAACAUAAAAAGACGAAGCCAGUUAUAUGAUUGUAAAAGGAUAUUGCAGCCCGCUCAGUGAGGUCUAGACUAUGGAUGAUGCUUUCUCGAUAUCAUGGUGAUAGUGGUGAUGGGAGCUUUCAAUUAACUUGACGUUUUCAAAAGUCGGAUUCAACUAAAUUUUGAUGAGAUGUAAGUUCUUGAUUUGUCUUUUGAUGGAUUUUCUUUCUCAAGAGGGGAAAAAAUGUGGAGACUCAAUGUUCUGUGGUUAAUUCUGACCAAAAAAAAAAAAAAAAAAAAA